UUGAUUUAUUUGUUUGUAUACUCAGAAGAUUCUCAAGUAAAGUAAGGGUUUGGUCCCUCGGCGGACGCCGGAGCGGCCGCCGAAGCAACACGGUAUGUUCACAGGGGUUUGGGAGUUGUAAACUCGGUAAUGAUCCCUCCGCUGGUUCACCAACGGAGA
rnacentral:misc_RNA from 1 species